rnacentral:rRNA from 1 species
AUUGAACGCUGGCGGCAUGCCUAACACAUGCAAGUCGAACGAGUGGCGGACGGGUGAGUAAUGUCUGGGAAACUGCCCGAGGGAGGGGGAUAACUAAUGGAAACGGUAGCUAAUACCGCAUACCAUCGGAUGUGCCCAGCUGGGAUUAGCUAGUAGGUGGUGUAAAGGCUCACCUAGGCGACGAUCCCUAGCUGGUCUGAGAGGAUGACCAGCCACACUGGAACUGCGACACGGUCCAGACGCCUAAGGGAGGCAGCAGUGGGGAAUAUUGCACAAUGGGCGCAAGCCUGAUGCAGCCAUGCUGCGUGUAUGAAGAAGGCCUUCGGGUUGUAAAGUACUUUCAGCGGGGAGGCGUUACCCGCAGAAGAAGCACCGGCUAACUCCGUGCCAGCAGCCGCGGUAAUUC